UCUCGUGAUGAUGGCAUAGAGGUAACACUCCUUCCCAUUCCGAACAGGAAAGUUAAAGGUCUAUAACGCCGAUGGUACUGCAUGGGAGACUGUGUGGCCAGAGUAGGACGUUGCGAGGU
rnacentral:rRNA from 1 species